rnacentral:tRNA from 1 species
AGCGGGGUAGAGUAAUGGUAUCUCGGAAGGCUCAUAACCUUUAGACCCAGGUUCGAAUCCUGGUCCCGCAA